rnacentral:lncRNA from 1 species
CUAGUCUCUGUGACUUCGUUAUGAUGAAUAAAACGCAGUUAAGACCCAAAAAAAAAAAAAAAAAAACUCAUGAUUUGUUCUUGCAAUCUCACGCUUACAACUUUCUGUACUCGCUGUAUUGCCUACUCGGCUACAUAAUAUUCACUUUGGUUACAUACAUUGGCUAAUGAAUUUUUCAUUAUUUACUUGGGACCAUUUUAACUCAACAACAUACAACACCUGCUGCAAUGAACAUGUCUCGUGUUCAUAUACUUUAUGGAACUGUUUCUAUUUGUAACUGUGCAUACUCUUCCUUCAUUCGGGUCUCGCAUCAUCUGAAACUUCAAAUUGACUCCAGCCGCUCAUCACAUGUUUAAUUUCAAAAUACAUUUGCUAUCGUUUAGUAGCUUUUCUCCCUGACACUAUAUGGUGUGUCAGCUUCUACUCUAGAAGCUUUGCCUGUUUAUAUGAAGAUGCAAGAAGAUGGGUUUUUAAGAACGAAACAAGAGAUUCUGAGCUAAAAAUUUGUUACCUGGCUUUCCCACAGGGUGAAGUACCCCUUUAACAUUGUGCUCCACUCUCUUUUAAUUUGUUCCUCCGGAGUCUGUUNNN